AACGAACGCUGGCGGCGUGCCUAACACAUGCAAGUCGUGCGAGAAAGUUCCUUCGGGAGCGAGUAAAGCGGCGCACGGGUGAGUAACACGUAGGUAACCUGCCCCCCAGUCUGGAACAACUAGAGGAAACUCUAGCUAAUGCCGGAUGAGACCACGAUCCCUUCGGGGUUGCGGCCAAAGAUGGCCUCUACUUGUAAGCUAUCGCUGAGGGAUGGGCCUGCGGGCCAUUAGCUUGUUGGUGAGGUAACGGCUCACCCAAGGCUGUGAUGGCUAGCUGGUCUGAGAGGAUGACCAGCCACACUGGGACUGAGACACGGCCCAGACUCCUACGGGAGGCAGCAGUGGGGAAUAUUGCGCAAUGGGCGAAAGCCUGACGCAGCGACGCC
rnacentral:rRNA from 1 species